GCACCCAUAGCUCAGCUGGAUAGAGCGCUGCCCUCCGAAGGCAGAUGUCAAGUCCGAAGCGCUUCAGGUGCA
rnacentral:tRNA from 1 species